CCUACGGGUGGCAGCAGUGGGGAAUAUUGGACAAUGGAGGAAACUCUGAUGCAGCGAUGCCGCGGGGGUGAAGAAGGAUUUCGGAUUGUAAAGCUCUAUCGGAUGUGACGAAGAUGACGGUAGCAUAUUAAGAAGCCCCGGCUAACUACGUGCCAGCAGCCGCGGUAAUACGAAGGGGGCAAGCGUUGUUCGGAAUUACUGGGGGUAAAGGGAGUGUAGGUGGGUGAGUAAGAUAGUGGUGAAAACCCAGGGCUUAACCUGUGAAUUGCCAUUAUAACUAUCAGACUAGAAUUACAGAGAGGCUAGUGGAAUGCCCAGUGUAGAGGUGAAAUUCGUAGAUAUUGGGUAGAACACCAGUGGCGAAGGCGACCAUCUGGCUUUACAUUGACGCUGAGGCUCGAAAGCGUGGGGAGCAAACAGGAUUAGAUACCCGUGUAGUC
rnacentral:rRNA from 1 species